rnacentral:rRNA from 1 species
GUAGGUGGCAAGCGUUGUCCGGAAUUAUUGGGCGUAAAGCGCGCGCAGGCGGUUCUUUAAGUCUGAUGUGAAAGCCCACGGGCUCAACCGUGGAGGGUCAUUGGAAACUGGAGAACUUGAGUACAGAAGAGGAAAGCGGAAUUCCACGUGUAGCGGUGAAAUGCGUAGAGAUGUGGAGGAACACCAGUGGCGAAGGCGGCUUUCUGGUCUGUAACUGACGCUGAGGCGCGAAAGCGUGGGGAGCAAACAGGAUUAGAUACCCUGGUAGUCCACGCCGUAAACGAUGAGUGCUAAGUGGUUAGGGGGUUUCCGCCCCUUAGUGCUGCAGCUAACGCAUUAAGCACUCCGCCGUGGGGAGUACGGCCGCAAAGGCUG